GCAGGGGUGGCUGAGGCGGUCAAAGGCGCCGGGCUUAAGAUCCGGUCCUUAUGGGUUCGUGGGUUCGAAUCCCACCCCCUGCA
rnacentral:tRNA from 3 species